CACCGCGGUUAUACGAGAGGCCCUAGUUGACAGGCACGGCGUAAAGGGUGGUUAAGGAGAGUAAAAAUAAGGCCAAAGGGCCUCUUGGCCGUCAUACGCUCCUGAGCGUCCGAAGUCCAAAACGAAAGUAGCUUUAAUAUAGCCCACCUGACCCCACGAGAGCUGAGAAA
rnacentral:rRNA from 1 species